rnacentral:rRNA from 1 species
UACGGAGGGUGCAAGCGUUAUCCGGAUUCACUGGGUUUAAAGGGUGCGUAGGUGGGUAGGUAAGUCAGUGGUGAAAUCUUCGAGCUUAACUCGGAAACUGCCAUUGAUACUAUUUAUCUUGAAUACUCUGGAGGUAAGCGGAAUAUGUCAUGUAGCGGUGAAAUGCUUAGAUAUGACAUAGAACACCAAUUGCGAAGGCAGCUUACUACAUAGUUAUUGACACUGAGGCACGAAAGCGUGGGGAUCAAACAGG